rnacentral:rRNA from 1 species
GCUUAACACAUGCAAGUCGAACGAACUUAUUAGGGCUUGCUCUAAUAAGUUAGUGGCAGACGGGGGAGUAAUACAUAGGAAUCUACCCAGCAGUACGGAAUAACUUUUGGAAACGAAAGAUAAUACCGUAUACAGCUGCGAAGUGAAAGAUUUAUCGCUGUUGGAUGAGCCUAUGCAGGAUUAGCUAGUUGGUGGGGUAAUGGCCUACCAAGGCUAUGAUCCUUAGCUGGUCUGGGAGGAUGAACAGCCACACUGGCACUGAGACACGGUCCAGACUCCUACGGGAGGCAGCAGUGGGGAAUUUUGGACAAGGGGCGAAGGCCUGAGCCAGCGACGCCGCGUGAGUGAUGAAGGCCUUAGGGUUGUAAAGCUCUUUCAGUAGGGAAGAUAGUGACGGUACCUACAGAAGAAGCCCCGGCUAACUUCGUGCCAGCCGCCGCGGUAA